CAUUCAUGCUUUCACUUUCAAUUGCAUAAAGUUCUAAACACUGAUAGAUCCUACUUCUAAAUUAUUGAAAUCAUCAUUUUGCAUUUGCACUUGGAGUAAAUUAGAUGCACCAAUUAUAGUCUCUACAACAUACUUCAAUAGAGAUAGCAGGAAGUGUGAAAAACACCAAAUAAACUAAACCAACAACACUGCAUGGUCCAUUUAUCCUGAGAAAAAUAUAGUGCAUGAUUUGGCCUAAAAUUUUAUACAAGACUGCCAGAUACCUGUAAGUGCAAUAAUAUGGGUUAAACAAAAUAGAGGAAAUUGUUCGCACAGAGACAUGCCUUUAUUUUACAAUAAUGUCACAGUGAACUUGACAUAUACCAAAUUAUCGUGAUGGCUAUAACUAGACAGUGACUUUGAUACCACUUUUAAUAACUGUAAAUAUACAUUUAUUUCAACAUAUACAAAUCUUUUAACAAAAUUAACUAACCUGUAAAUAUUGCUUAAGCAUUUAAGCGUCAGCAUUGUAAGGCGGCUAUUCAGUUAAUGAAAUACUAAAUCUCUAUAUAUAUAAAUAAGACGUACAUAUAUUUUCCCGCGCUCGUGCAAUAAUAUUUUAUUCUAUUUAAAUCGUUCAGGUGUGUAGUGAUGUGUAUAUGAAAUUGUGCAGUGACGUAUAUUAGAAAUGUCGUCAGUCUCAGUCAAUCGUCAUAAUGAGUAUGAUGAAACAGAAAAUGGAAUGAAUGAAUGAAUGAAUGAAAUAAAUAAAUGAACUGAUGAAUAACCAAUCAAACAUUUAAUAUACACAUAAACACGACGGUGACAAUAAGAUAACAUAAAUUAGAACCUACUCAUUUGUGAGUUGGACAUUAUUCACAUCUCAACCUGAAUAUGAAUUAAGAAAUAAUUGAAUAUCAAAUUUACAAUAAACUACAAUGAUGCACCCUUCUUCUGCAAUGUAAAUUAUAUAACAGUAAAUUUUCUGCCCGACUUUUUAUCCUUGUUACUAUAGUCUUUGACCAUUAUUUUACUAGGAGCGGAAGUCCAUAACAAGUAAAAUAUGUGUCACUCUGGCACUUACUAUCUUUGGAAAAAUUGUUCUAUUGCUUGUUUUUCUAGUAAUUUCAAUUAUAAUUAUAGUUAUUAAUAAAAUAAGCAUAUUUUGAAAGUUUCAUUUAUUUUUUCCAUAAAAAAAAAAAGGGUAUAUGGAC
rnacentral:lncRNA from 1 species